UACGUAGGGUGCAAGCGUUGUCCGGAAUUAUUGGGCGUAAAGAGCUCGUAGGCGGUCUGUUGCGUCGGCUGUGAAAACCCGGGGCUCAACCCCGGGCCUGCAGUGGGUACGGGCAGACUAGAGUGCGGUAGGGGAGACUGGAAUUCCUGGUGUAGCGGUGAAAUGCGCAGAUAUCAGGAGGAACACCGGUGGCGAAGGCGGGUCUCUGGGCCGAAACUGACGCUGAGGAGCGAAAGCGUGGGGAGCAAACAGG
rnacentral:rRNA from 1 species